UUGUAUUGUUGCUGUUGAGCUUUACAAGGCUGCACGUGGCGGUGGUUCUCUUUUUUCUUGUUAUCAGUAAAGAAUGUGAUUAACCUACCCCACGCUACAUCUUGGUAUAAUUCCACCAACGCCGAUCGUUACAAUGAUAGAACGAUAGGCAAAUAUUGUACAAUCCAGGUGUGGAAAGGUCUCACUUACCCAGGAAGACUCACAGCCGCAAUUGCUGCCAAAGUGAACCAUGGGAAGUUUACUAAGCUGGAGGACUCGUAUGCGUUCGAGGAGGACAGCAGCAGUGGUACAGUGGUAGUCCGUCUCCAGAGCAACACCACAGUGAUGAGUCACAGGGGUCUGCAUGCCUAAGUGCAGCACCAGCCCUCAAUAGCCCUAAACAGGUUGCUCUGGAAUUCAUGAGACUGGUAUCUGUGGACCUCAAGAAGAUAUUUUAUGAAGGCCUGGACAGUCAUCUUUCCAAGCUCCUUGAAUUCUACCGGGCCAAGAGCGAUGGAGGGAUGGAGCUAAAACACCUUAUGGAAAGUCUUGACAAAGACAGAGGUUCCAUUAUAUUCACAUUCAAUCAAUUAGGCUUUUGAUGUUUGAGUUCCAAUCAAGGGAAGCGAGAGGGUGUGCCCCGAGGAUUGCCAUACUUCCUGCGAGAAGACCCUACCAAUUUCUUUUAAAGAUAAGACAACUGAUUCUGAGGAAGUCACCCAUGGAGUGAAAAUACACUUGUCGUUGUGGAUGGAGCUGCAGCAGAUGACCCAAUGCCAGCUGACAAUGUGGACGUUGCCCUUGUGAAAGAAGAGCAGGGCUUGGUCCCAUGUGUGAUGUUGGCCCAGUCAGGGAAAGUGCUGAGCUGGAACAUUGCGUCUCCCCAGGUGUUGAUGCCCAUGUUGAUGGUCAGGAUCCCGAUCAUGUUCAGCAUGAAGCCUGCCUUCACCUGGACAACACAACAACACAAAUUCAGGCCUCUCCCUCUUCUUCCUCAGCACUCCCACAGCAGAACGGCCGUGAGGGGAUAAUGAAGAAGAGCGUGGACAUGAAGAUGGCAACAGUCCCGUCUGUCACAAACCUGAAGGACACACACAGCGAAAGAGUACAGUGGCCCAGCCUGGCAUGAAGCCUGGUUCUCUGGUGAACCACAUCACCACCAGCAGGACAAAGAUGGUCAGCACAGCCCCCUCGGCGAAGGUCAUGCUCCCCAGCUUCCUGUACUCCUCCUUCAUCACUGCGAACGCCUCCUUGUCUCCCUCGUUCUUCUUCCCGCAGC